AACAACGCGUGGCGGCGUGUCUUAAGCAUGCAAGUUGAGCGGCAAGGAGGAGAGAUCCUCCCUAGAGCAGCGGACUGGUGAGUAACGCGUGGGUAAUCUAUCUUAGGCAUGGGGAUAGUCACUAGAAAUAGUGGGUAAUACCGAAUAAGUUCCAUAAGGGGAGGACUUAUGGAAGAAAGGUGCUACGGCACUGGCCUUAGGUGAGCUCGCGUCCCAUUAGCUAGUUGGUGAGGUAAAGGCCCACCAAGGCGAUGAUGGGUAGCCGGCCUGAGAGGGUGUACGGCCACACUGGGACUGAGAUACGGCCCAGACUCCUACGGGAGGCAGCAGCUAAGAAUAUUCCGCAAUGGACGGAAGUCUGACGGAGCGACGCCGCGUGGAUGAAGAAGGCCGAAAGGUUGUAAAGUUCUUUUGCUAGGGGAGAAUAAGUGUGGGAGGGAAUGCCUGCACGAUGACAAGGACUAGCGAAUAAGUCCCGGCCAACUACGUG
rnacentral:rRNA from 1 species